rnacentral:lncRNA from 1 species
GGCAAUAUAAUUUCACAUGUAAUAUAUAUAUUNUUUUUAAUUUUACAUUUACCAUCCAAAUUACCUACAAAUCGAAUUAGAAUUAUAUCAUAAAUUGUUCAACAAUCAAAACCCCCGUCUCACUCCAAAUCUUGAGAACCCGUCGCCACCGUCGCUGGCAUUAGCUUCGACCGCCACCACCGUUGUCUGCUCCAUCACCAAGCCGCCUUCAGCGAUCUGCCCCCUCCACCUUCCCCCGCCACGAUAUGCCACCUCUCUUCCCCCCUCGCAAUUCGCUGCAAACUCCAACACCACUGCCAUCUGCCCCGUCACCAAGACGCCGCGAACGAUCUGCUCCAUCCACCUUCCCCCGACGCGUUUUGCCUCCUCCAUUUCCCCUCCACCGCCGUCCGCCACCGCGCCUCGCCGCCCCGGCACCCUUCGCGAUCUAUACCCCUUCCGUCUCCACACCAGCUCUCAUUUCCCCCACCGCAGCCAUGGCACAGCCGCCGCCAAUGGCUGCCCUGCGCCUAGCACCACCGCCGUCAAUGGGUGUCUCGCCGGACAUUACUUGGUUCCGGAACGGUUCUUGAUUAGCUAUGGUAAGUAUUUUAUUAAGAAAUAUUAUAUUUGACUAUUGUGAAUAUGGAAUGAUUAGUGUGAAUUUUAAAAAGAACAAAUUUUGGAAAGAAUAAAAUUAUAUACAAUUAUAUGAUUUACCUAUCAAUCAAUAAUCAGUCAAUUCUAGAUACAAUUUAACAAUGAAAACUUUAUUUAAUCAGCUAAUUUUAGAUACAUUUUAACAAUGGAAACUUCAAAGUUUAGAUUUUAGCUAUAAAUUCAAUAGUUCAAAUGAUAAGAGUUUUUACAACCAACCGAUGGUGCUUUGUGGCUUCCACUCUUCGUUCUGGUUCAAGUAAGCUUAAUUUCUUUUUUCUUCCACGUUGUCUUCGUGUUGCAGAUUGGAAUUUUCUUCCCCACAUGUAUGUUAGAUUUAGUUGUUGUUUCUUUCUUUUGUAUUUAUUUUAUGGAUUGGUUAUAUAGGUUCAAGCUUCACCGUCGAAGAAUUCAAAGUACCUCUCAAUCCAGUUCCAUCAUUAGUGACGCACUGACGGUAUGAUUUUUAUUCCUGUUGGGAUGAGUCUCUUCUCCUGUUAGUUGUCUUUCAGAAUCAGUUAUGCACGACACGACAGCUUUAGCAAUUCUAUGCGAUGAAUAGUGAGAAUUUUGGCUGGUUAAUCUUGCUGCUACUUUUCUCAUUGCGCCUGCUUCGUCUGCUUUUGAAUUCUCUCAACAAAUAAUAGGCUAGAAUCACAAAGUCUAAAGAGUGUUGCUCCGAGUCCAAUAGUUCCUAAUGUAGUUCAUCUAGAUGCUAUUAGCACUUGGGCAUGCAUGGUUGAUGGUUCCCGUGGUGACCUCUAUGAUGUAGUACCUUUUGUGAAGCACUUGGGCAUGCAUGAUUUAUUUCAUAAAGAUGAUGAUACACAGACCUUACGAAAAAAAUGGCAGACAUCUUUAGCAGCAGAGGAUCAUGAUUAAAAAUAUGAUAGCUAGAUUGUUUUAUAAUUGUUAAGCAAAUCUUAUUAAAUUAAUAAUGUUUUUUCUUCUUCUUUUGUUGCGUUUGUUGUUCUUCUUUGUUCAUUGCUUCAUUAUCUUCGCUAAUAGAAAAGAUUAAUAUUAUUAUCUGCCCCUGCUUGCAAUGGUAAUCUAUCCCCUUCUCUAAGUCACUGUAUAUUUCCAUUCUUAGUGUUAUAAAUAUUGGUCAAAUAUGAAAAGGUUCCACCUUUAUUGAUCAUGCUUAUUGUGUGAUUUUUUUGUUGGAUUGUAAAUGACAUUGGUCCUUGAUUUAGUGAACUUUUAAUUCAAUUAAUGUGUGUUGUGGUGUUAACUGAUCACUCAUUUCUAUUUGUGAUUUUUCGUUUGUGUUUUUGUUUAUUAGUUGAGGUUUAGUAGACUGCAUUUCUUGGAUGGAUAAUUUAUGUGCUGUUUUUUGAAUUCAUAAGCUGAAAUUGAAAAUGUUUGGAAAUUAAUUAGUACACUAUGUGCGGUAUUGCUCAAUAUAUUGUUGUUCGAUUACUUUUGAAGUUCCUUUGCAUGAGAUUUGGAUUGUUUUGAGUAAAAGAGUAGCUCUUUUGAUUUGUUCUAUUUCCACGAGGGUUACAAAAGAUGAGGGAAAGAAGAGGUGAACAUUUACAUUUUAGCUAAGAUCUGCCUUGCCAUCCAAAUUAUGUGCAUUAUACACUAUGUUGCUUUAGCUUUUCCUUACGACACUAUUAUUGAUGUUUUGUCAUGUCAACGCGGAGAAGCAACAGCGCCCCUACCUCUCAAGUCUCGACGGGUAUCCGACGGGUAGUGGGUGGCGAGUAUCCGACGGGUAGCGGAUAUGGAUAGGCAAAUAGUAGUGUACUAAUAAGUUGAAAUUUUCUUUAAAAUUUAUUACAGUUUCGUGGUAAUUUAUUUGUUGGGUGAUUUAUUGCAUUUGUUGCGUGGUUGAUUGUAGGAUGUCGACGCCGAGAAGCAGCAGUGCUCCUACCUCUCAAGCAUCGAUGGGUAUCCGACGGGUAGUGGGUGGGGGUAUCCAAUGGGUAGCGGGUGUCCUCUUUAAUUUAUUUUUUCAUUUUAGUUUGACAUGUAAUGUAGACCUAUGUCAUGUUAACACUUAUUUUAUUGAAUAAUAUUCAUCAUUUAUAAAUAUAUUAUGAAAGGGAAGUGAACUUUUUAUUUAUAAA